GACGGUAUCGUGAAGCAUCCUCCGGUGACUGAAAAACAAAAAGAGGGAAAGAGCACGGAACGACGAGAGUGAAUCAAAACAUCGUGAAAGGAGAGUCGCGGGCUUUGCCUUGUCGAAGCUUGCUCGACGAAAACUGCUGACGUCCGUACGGUGCCUCGCCUCGUCGUUGACACCUCGAUUGCCUCGCUUUUUAUGAUCGUGCUUAUUCAGAGAGGGGGGAGGGCGGCGAGGGGGAGGGGGAAGCAGUAAGGACACUAACGAUACUCUGAUCUCUGAUACUUGUGCCGAUUCCGCGCUAUCGGAGCUCGGUACUUCCUGGUUGAUCUCCACGAUGGCGUGCUUUCGAUAUUUUGACGUCAGAAUUCCAAAUAUUUUUGGAAAAAUAUGUACUAUAGAUAUGCGAAAGAUUUUAGGAAGAUAUUUUACCUCUUGCUAAAUAUUUGUAAAAGUUAUAUCUUUUAAUCUUGAAUUGCUGACAAAAUAUAAAAAUUAUUAAUAAAAAAACGCACGUUGAUAAACAUAUAUUAUUAGUAAUACAUUAUAAAAUUUAACCAGUUAUCGAGAAUUCAUCAUAAUAUUUUGAAAUAUCGUUAGUGCGCAUGUGCUUAAUUGCGACACCAAGGCUAUUUCAUUUUGAGUUUAAAUAAUAAAAAGACAUGAUAUUUUUUUUAACGAUUACUUAAUCAUAUUUCAACGUGUAGAAAUAAUUUGUAAAAAAAUUUAUCUUUAUUUUAAUAUUAUAUUUAAAGACAAGAAUGCAAAAAAGAAGAGAGAAAAGGCAAUAAUCAGGAAUUUUUUAGAUUAUUAAUCUGCGAGGCAAGCAUGUGAUACAAAUGGUUUAUUAUUUCGGCAAGAAUAUAAAUAAUUUCACUUCUUUUCUCAAUCCUUGCAUAUGAUGUUUACCGUAAACAAUAAGAUAGAAGUGGUAAUAUAGAUAAAGGUGUUGUUGUGUGAAAUCUUAACUAUAUGAUCAAAAUUUACUAGUUAAACUAUUAAACAAUUCGGAGACUGAAAUAUUUUGUAUAAAUAUUUCCGCAAUAAGUCAGCUUUGCAAUACUUUUAAAGUUUGCUUAUUAAUGUGUGGAGUUAUUCAGUACGGGAUUUUUUAUUUCUUCUGAAAUAUUAUAAUAAUAAAUUUUUAAUAUUGAAUAUUAUAUAUGUAUAGCUAAAAACACAAAAUAGUUUUCGAUUACGUAUUUUUUGAAAGUCAAUUUAAAAUCGGUCUUGAGUGCAUUGCAAUUUUGAUCAAAUUUGAUCGAUUUUCUAUUCGAGAGAUUCUCACUUAACAAUAAUUAUUUAACUUCUCUUUUCCAUCUCAGGCAAAACUUGUAUUUUUAUAUAUAAAAAAAAAAAAUCAAUAAAACAAUAUCUUAUGCAAAGAUUUAACUACAUAUAAAACUGUGAAUUUAUUGUAGUUUCAAGAUAUGUUGACGCUCAGGAUUUAAACCUCAUGUUUAAAUCCUGAGCUUCUUCCAAAGUGAACCUUGUGUUGUUUAUGUUUAUUAAAUUAUAAUGUUACCAUAAUGUUAUACUAUUAUUAAAUGUUCAGUCAUUACCAUAUUUUUUACCAGUCUUUCUCUAUAAAAAAAUAAUUAUAUAUUCGACUUCUCUAUGGAUUUCUUCAACAUGCGUACAGUUAAGCCUUUCGAUUUAUAUGAUCGGAAAUCUUUUCCGCCGACUUAUUGCGAUACCAUUCGCGUUGGAUGCAUAGAUUUAAAAAGAUAAACUGAAAAAAAUAAGAUACUAAGAUAAAAUUAAAAAUAAGACAAAAGUAAGCAACCCCGCAUAUAAUGUAGCAGGGUAAUCUUUCGCAGUAACGUACACAGAUCGUAUAUUUGCUAUUAUCCGUAAACGAAUUUACUGUACAUUAUCUCGACGAUUGAUACAAUCGCUUUAUAGCCGGCAUAUAGUUUUUUAUCAUCUUACAAUACGACACGUCCAUACAGCACAGAACGUUGCGGCGAUGUAAUCCCUAAUGUUUUGUGCUGUAUGGGUGCACACGUAUCAUUUUUUAUUCAAAAUUUUAGAAAGAUAUAAUAUUCGUAUAUGUGUACCUCUCUUAUUGAACUUCCCUCAACCGAUAGAUCAACUCUUUGCACUGCGAAAUGUCGACCCAGUCUCAAUAAUACAAUAGUAUAUUGUAUUAUUAUUAUUAUUAUUAUUAUUAUUACAGUGUAAAAUUAACACAUUAGGUGUUAUAUAUUAUUAAAUUAUACUAGUUUACAAGAUUUUGCAUCAGAACAUUUGAACACUGUUUCUAGAGUAAUUGUAAACGCUGAGCACGAAUUUGCCAACAAAAAUUUUUUAUCAGGUCAGGUUUUCGAGAAAAAUAGAGUUGGAUUUUUUAAAAAACAGGUUUCUUACCAUCUUUGAAAAUUUGUAACAGACAAACUCGACUUACAAGAGAUUUCAGAUAGGGCUCAAAUGAAAGCUUGAACAUUGUACUUUAAUAUAAAAAAGAUCGAAUCUUUUAUCUGCAAUUAGACUGUGAGGGGAUAAUCGUUCUACUUGACACUGUGUGACUACACAUAAAAACAAAAUGCGCCUGAGAUUGUACCUGCGGUAAAAGAUUCGAUAUUUUUAUAUUAAUAAAAUAUAAUGUUCAAACUUUCAUUUGAGCCCUUUUUGAAAUCUCUUGCACGUGAGUUUGUCUGCUAUAAAUUAUCAAGAAUGAUAAACAAGUUUUUGGAGAAUUUCAAAUCUAUUUUCCUUAAAAACCUGAUAGGCCAUUUUGCCUUGCGGAUUUGGAUUCAGCGUCCCAAAAUACGUAAAAAAAAAUUGUUUCUAUUUCUGGCACUAAAAAGAAGAAUGAAAUUUAUAAGCUAGUGUUAUAACAGCGUAUAUAAUAGACGUACAACAUAUACACGUUAUAUUCGUCGUAUAAUAUAUUACUAUAAUAUUUUUAUAACAAUUAGAGUAUAUUUUCUUUCUCUCUCUCUUUAUUUUUAAUUAUUUUAAAAAUCUAUAUUUUCUUCACUUUGCGAAAUUAGUCGGCGAAAUGCUCUAUGCAUUUAUACAUGUUUUCUUGAUAUCUAGAUUUCUUAAUUUAUUUUAUUUCAAUAUGUCAGAGAAAGUUCAAGCGAUAAUCCAAUUUGAAUUUCAUUGUUUGAGAAUUCAAAAGUAAUAAUCUAAUUUUAUCAACUUCUAUUUUCUUUACGAGUCAAUCAAUAUAUUUAUGUAUAUAAACUUGAUAUAAAUCUUUAAUCGCGUCAUGUGACAAGCAAAUAUCUCAUACAAUGGUAUUAUAUCCGAUUAUAAUAUUUGAUUGUUAGAAGAAUGCAUUCCGAGCGCAAAGUGUUGAUUUUCCAUUUAUCCCCGGUGAAAUAUUUCAUUUGUUUUGAUAAAGAAUGUGAAUUAUUAUAAUAUCAAAAAUUGAAGCGGACGGUGCAAUGAGCUUGGCUCGUUCGUAUCAUCAGCGGAUAGAAAAAGCUAUCGGUUGAAGGAUUAGCAUUAUCUUCCUUUUUUUUCAAGAAUAGUGUAUUCGGGAAACUGUUUCUAGAAAGCGAAUGCUUUAAGCGUUUGACGCUUUCGAUCGCACUUGGUGCGUUAAAAGCGCGAGAGGCUAUUUUCGAUUAAAAUUUAAAGUUUGUCCGAUACUCGAUACGCAUGAUAAAUUGCUCGAACAGUCGGCUUGAACGUCAAGUUGUGUAAUGCGAUUUACAUCACUAAAAGAUCGCAGAUUAUUUGCAGCAAUCUCGUAAAACUAAUCAGAAUGAGCACUCGUCAAUACUAAAAAUGUGAGAAAACAAAAUUUAAAAAAUAUCUGUGUUUUUUUGAAAAAUUUUUAUUUAUUUUCUUC